rnacentral:rRNA from 1 species
UCCUACGGGAGGCAGCAGCAAGGAAUAUUGGGCAAUGGGCGAAAGCCUGACCCAGCGACGCCGCGUGGAGGAAGAAGGCCCUCGGGUCGUAAACUCCUUUUCUCAGGGAAGAAUAAUGACGGUACCUGAGGAAUAAGUCUCGGCUAACUACGUGCCAGCAGCCGCGGUAAUACGUAGGAGGCGAGCGUUAUCCGGAUUUACUGGGCGUAAAGAGGGCGUAGGCGGCUCUUCAAGUCGGAUGUGAAAUCUCCCGGCUUAACUGGGAGGGGUCAUUCGAUACUGAGCAGAGGGAGGUGGAAUUCCCGGUGGAGUGGUGAAAUGCGUAGAUAUCGGGAGGAACACCAGUGGCGAAGGCGGCCCUCUGGGCUGCAUCUGACGCUGAGGCCCGAAGGCGUGGGGAGCAAACAGGAUUAGAUACCCCGGUAGUCCAAGCC